AUACGUAGGAUCCGAGCGUUGUCCGGAUUUACUGGGCGUAAAGGGUGCGUAGGCGGCGUGGUAAGUCUCAUGUGAAAUCUCCCGGCUCAACUGGGAGGGGUCAUGGGAUACUGCCAUGCUCGAGGGCAGUAGAGGAGAGCGGAAUUCCGGGAGUAGCGGUGAUAUGCGUAGAUACCCGGAGGAACACCCGUGGCGAAAGCGGCUCUCUAGGCUGUACCUGACGCUAAGGCACGAAAGCGUGGGGAGCAAACCGGAUUAGAAACCCUGGUAGUCC
rnacentral:rRNA from 1 species